GACGAACGCUGGCGGCGUGCUUAACACAUGCAAGUCGAACGGUGAACCUCUUCGGAGGGGCUCAGUGGCGAACGGGUGAGUAACACGUGGGCAACCUGCCCCCGGCUCUGGGAUAACUCCAAGAAAUUGUGGCUAAUACCGGAUGUUCACCGCUUCCCGCCUGGGUGGUGGUGGAAAGGGUUUCCGGCUGGGGCUGGGCCCGCGGCCUAUCAGCUUGUUUGUGGGGUAGUGGCCUACCAAGGCGACGACGGGUAGCCGGCCUGAGAGGGUGGCCGGCCACACUGGGACUGCGGGACGGCCCAGAGUCGUACGGGAGGCAGCAGUGGGGAAUAUUGCGCAAUGGGCGGAAGCCUGACGCAGCGACGCCGCGUGGGGGAUGACGGCCUUCGGGUUGUAAACCUCUGUCAGCAGGGACGAAGCGGAAGUGACGGUACCUGAAGAAGAAGCACCGGCCAACUACGUG
rnacentral:rRNA from 1 species